rnacentral:rRNA from 1 species
AGUGAACGCUGGCGGUAGGCCUAACACAUGCAAGUCGAACGGCAGCACAGUAAGAGCUUGCUCUUACGGGUGGCGAGUGGCGGACGGGUGAGGAAUACAUCGGAAUCUACUUUUUCGUGGGGGAUAACGUAGGGAAACUUACGCUAAUACCGCAUACGACCUACGGGUGAAAGCAGGGGAUCUUCGGACCUUGCGCGAUUGAAUGAGCCGAUGUCGGAUUAGCUAGUUGGCGGGGUAAAGGCCCACCAAGGCGACGAUCCGUAGCUGGUCUGAGAGGAUGAUCAGCCACGCUGGAACUGAGACACGGUCCAGACUCCUACGGGAGGCAGCAGUGGGGAAUAUUGGACAAUGGGCGCAAGCCUGAUCCAGCCAUACCGCGUGGGUGAAGAAGGCCUUCGGGUUGUAAAGCCCUUUUGUUGGGAAAGAAAAGCAGCAGGUUAAUACCCCGCUGCUCUGACGGUACCCAAAGAAUAAGCACCGGCUAACUUCGUG